CGGGAGGUAAACACGGACCGCAACGAAAUCGCAUCAGUCACUCUCUCCUCCUCUCCCUCUCACUCAGUGUUCACCCGGCUAUCGUUAGGGUAGGGUGUGCGUUGCGUUGCUCUCCGCUCCCUCUCUCGCACUUCAGACUUGAGUGCGUAUUGUUAACUGUUUCCUGGUGGUGUGUGUGUACCAAGUCAGCCAUUUUGUGCGGGAAAGACUGUUUUUCAAGGACUGUCAAGUUGUUGGAAAAGAAAAAAAGAAAGUGAGGAAGGAAGGAAAGUGAGAAAAAACAGAACAAGAUGUGAAGGAGAGAGAGAGAGAGAGAGAGAGAGAGAGAGAGAGAGAGAGAGAGAGAGAGAGAGAGAGAGAUGACAUACCCGAAGCCCGCCCAGAUAAGUCCCGCCCGCCGCCCACUGGCCACACACACGCCCACGUACACCCACGCACUCCUGUAGGUGGGCGGGGCGUUCACCCAUGCCGCUCACAACCCUGCCGUGGGUGGUGGUGGUGCUGACACUGUUGCUCACACUUCCACAGCUGACUCACACUCUCCCUAGCCCAUCUGACCUCACCACCUCCUUGGCCCCCUCCCGGAUGUCUCCAGGCCAGAGGGGGUCGAGGGGAACCCGUGUGGAGGAGCGGCGCCCCCCGUGACCCCUCCAGUAGUUGAAGUAGCGUGGGAAAGAAACAGUUCACAAGUUGACGUGUUGUGUCUCCCAAAACUCCGCACUUUUUCCCCUUCCUCAUCUGAACCUCCCCAAUCUGAGCUCCCACCCCCACUGGCCCCUCCGCUGCGCUGGCUGCCGUGGGGGCUGGGGGCGGGGUGUAGUGCUCAACCUGACGCAUCUGCAGCAGGAGGGGCUUGGGGGACAGGUGGUGGUGGACGUUGAGGGGUGUGGCUGCGUGGGGGUGGCUGUGGGAUUGCCAGAAUGGGCUGAGGGCUUGACAUUCGCCAUACGAGGCUCCCUAAGACUUCCCCGUGGGUGGUGGGUAGGUGGCGUGGGCGUGAGGGACAUGUGGGUGCGGGUGAGUGAAGGGCUGGGUGGGGGAGGGGUGUGUGAGUACCUCCCCCCAACACUGGAAACUUUGGACCUGUCUGAUACUCCUCUCGGGGAGUUAAUUCUUGAAGGAAGCUGCGCCCCUCCUUCACUGCAACGCCUUGAAGCAAUAUGGUCCGUGAUCACGCGCGUCAGGCUAUGCACGCCCUCUCUCACCACUCUGUAUAUGAGUAACAAUGAAGUGGGCGGUGAAAUGACGUGGGCGGGCUGCGAGGGCGGGGUUAGUGGCGUUACGUACCUUCACGCGAGCCACAACCACCUCGCCACAGCCUCCACGUGCUCCUGGCCUAGUCUCGCCACUCUGGAACUAAGAGGGAACUGGUUAACUUCGCUUGAUCUCUCCACUUGUCCCUCCUCGUAACCUUACCUCACUUAUUGCCUCCAAAAAUUAUCUCACGGUCUCCCCAACCCUGCCACCAGCGCUUGUUAUCCUGGAUCUCAGUCACAACAACAUUUCUGAGCUCCCUGUCUUCACUCGCGCCCUCCAGGAGGCAGACUUCUCCUACAACAUCGUGAGCCAUGUGGGCGAGGGACGGUUUGAGCGCGCGAGGAAACUGCACCACCUCAGCCUUGCCCACAACCACUUAACGGAGAUAGCGGAGCGGGACUUUUACGGACUGAAGAAGUUACAUCGCUUGGACUUAAGCCACAACAAGCUGGAGAACAUCGCUCCCACUGCCUUCCUGCCGCUCCACCACCUCCGCCACCUUCACCUCCACCACAACCGCCUCACCCAGCUUGACGCGCGCAUCCUCCACACACUCAGCGCCCACGCCACGCUGCACAACAACCCCUGGGCGUGUAACUGUCAGAUGUUGGCGGCUUUGAUUCAGCUGCAGGCGUGCGCUGAGUGUAAACAUAAGCGGGUAGCCUUGCAAUGCCAGGAGCGAGAACACGUGCAAGAAGUCACCUCCCUGUUGCGCACUUGUCUGCACGCCAUACAACACACGCAGGGGCAGGUUGACGAAUCAGACGAAGACUUAUCGGAAGAGAUCCCAGACAACCCUGACGAAGGCGGUGCAGGGGCUGUUUUAAUUGUUCCUAGCUUAGUUGUCCUCAUUAUCCUCGCCGUCAGCAUCGCCUGCGGGUAUAGAUUGUAUCGUAAGCACAGGAGAACAAUCGUCACCACCUUCACUCCAUUCUGCGCCUGUUGUGAUCGGUGUGGGGCGCCUGGUAUGAGUAAUAGCAACCACGCCAACCAUCAUCAUCAUCGGGAGGCGUCACAGUUGCCAACGGGGGAGCUGCAGGAUUCCGACACUGAGACUGAAAUGUGAGUGAGUGUGUGUGUGUGUGUGUGUUUCUUGUACAGUUUUUCCCUAUUUCCUCUCCUCUCGUUUUCUUCCUUCCCUUUUCCUUUUCUUCCUUUCUCGUCCUUCCUUUUCCUUCCAACUUUGCUAAUUUUUCGUUAUUCUUUUCCUUUCAUUCCCUCCUUUUUUUUUGGUGCGUGUGCUUUCCCUGAGAGAGAGAGAGAGAGAGAGAGAGAGAGAGAGAGAGAGAGAGAGAGAGAGAGAGAGAGAGAAUUUCUAUGUAAAGAAUAUAUAUAAUUUCAACGUGUGUGUGUGUGUGUGUGUGUGUGUGUGUGUGUGUGUGUGUGUGUGUGUGUGUGUGUGUGAGAGAGAGAGUAACGGUAAUGGGAUUUACUUAAUGAAAAUUUUGCACCAUUUGUAUAAGAAUUACCAAAUCCAUCAUUAUUUCUUCCUUCCCUCCCUCCCUCCCUCCCUCCUUCCUUCCUUCCUUCCUUCCUUCCUUCCUUCCUUCCUUCCUUCCUUCCUUCCUUCCUUCCUUCCUUCCUUCCUUCCUUUCCUUCUUCCCUCAGUCAGCCGUUGGAAGGAAGGACAAAAUAGUGUAACCUAAGAUUUGUAAGUUACCAUUAUUGUUAAAAGGAAUAUGUAGAGUUUCAAAAUACAGUGAUCGUCUUUCUUA